rnacentral:ncRNA from 1 species
UCUCCCGUUUCUCCUCCCUGAGCGGGUGUCUUAACCCCCUUGUUAAGACUUUUGCCCCAGCGCCUCCCCCUUUGGCUGCCGGGGCAUUUUUUU